UACUUAUCAAGAGCAGGUGGAGGGACUAGCCCAAUGAAGCCCGGCAACCGACCCGAACGAAUCAUGUUCAGGCACGGUGCUAAUUCUUGCAGCAGACAUGCUGAGGGAUAAGGU
rnacentral:ncRNA from 2 species